rnacentral:rRNA from 1 species
CCUACGGGGGGCAGCAGUGAGGAAUAUUGGUCAAUGGGCGGAAGCCUGAACCAGCCAAGUCGCGUGAGGGAUUAAGGCCCUGCGGGUCGUAAACCUCUUUUGCCGGGGAGCAGAGGUCCGGACGUGUCCGGGCCGGGAGAGUACCCGGAGAAAAAGCAUCGGCUAACUCCGUGCCAGCAGCCGCGGUAAUACGGAGGAUGCAAGCGUUAUCCGGAUUUAUUGGGUUUACAGGGUGCGUAGGCGGGCAUUUAAGCCGGCGGUCAAAUGUCGGGGCGCAACCCCGGCCUGCCGUCGGAACUGGGUGCCUUGAGUGGGCGAGAAGUAGGCGGAAUGCGUGGGGUAGCGGUGAAAUGCAUAGAUAUCACGCAGAACCUCGAUUGCGAAGGCAGCAUACCGGCGCCCUACUGACGCUGAGGCACGAAAGUGCGGGUAUCGAACAGGAUUAGAUACCCCAGUAGUC